rnacentral:rRNA from 1 species
AUUGAACGCUGGCGGCAUGCUUUACACAUGCAAGUCGGACGGCAGCACAGAGAAGCUUGCUUCUUGGGUGGCGAGUGGCGAACGGGUGAGUAAUAUAUCGGAACGUACCGAGUAAUGGGGGAUAACUAAUCGAAAGAUUAGCUAAUACCGCAUAUUCUCUGAGGAGGAAAGCAGGGGACCUUCGGGCCUUGCGUUAUUCGAGCGGCCGAUAUCUGAUUAGCUAGUUGGUGGGGUAAAGGCCUACCAAGGCGACGAUCAGUAGCGGGUCUGAGAGGAUGAUGCGCCACACUGGGACUGGGCCACGGCCCAGGCUCCUACGGGAGGCAGCAGUGGGGAAUUUUGGACAAUGGGCGCAAGCCUGAUCCAGCCAUGCCGCGUGUCUGAAGAAGGCCUUCGGGUUGUAAAGGACUUUUGUCAGGGAAGAAAAGGCUGUUGCUAAUAUCAAUAGCUGAUGACGGUACCUGAAGAAUAAGCACCGGCUAACUACGUG